rnacentral:lncRNA from 1 species
UCUUCUUUGCCUGUCUGGAACCUUCUCUUCCUCCCAGUUUUGGGCACCGGGAAGAGACGAAGGCAUGACCGAAUUUUGGGCACUCGGAAGAGAUGAAGGCAGGUGCAAGAAGAGGGUAAAUGCCCAAGAAUCUUAAUUCAUGCUCAAAAUACAUGCCAAAGAUACCAGGAUUCAACCAUUGAAACCUAAAUUGGGAUCCAGCGUCGGGAUACUGUGGAAAGAAAAGAUGGGUAUCGAGAGAGCCAUGGCCAUGCUCCUUUUCACUGCCAUCCAUUAUUUUCCCUCUCUCCUUUAUAUUGAUUGAUCCAACGAGGCUGAAGCAAAGCUACAAAUUGAUUGUAGACAGAAGUGAGGCAGGUGCAAAUUCCUUUCAUUUUCAGAUUGCUUCGGUUACAUAAGCUCUUGUAAGUGGCAUCAUAUUUUGUCUAGUUAUUUAAACAUUUUGUAGGCAAAAAGAAUCAUAUUUUGUAGAACACCGCCUUUUAUUUCUAAUUUAGUUCGUGCCUUUUCUUCCGGAGUGUGUCUGAAGUUGAGUUAGUCUUUGUAAUAAUCACAUCGUUCACAUUUAAAGAUAACUUACCUGAUUGUAACAAAAAAUUUUGAGUACAUUAUAUUUCACUCACUGUUAAGUAAAAUAUUAGUAUGAUGUCGAUGAUUAUUAGUGGUCGGUAUUAUGGUCUUGAACAAGGAAAAUAAUUAGUUUUCAACAAAUAAUUAUUCCUCAUUGUUUGGUUGUAUCAAAGUCUCUUAUAUGGGGCAGAGUAAAUCAGACUAUAAUGGCUGUGUAUAGUGUAACUGAGGUUUGGUAUACAUGGAAUUCCUUGUGAUUAGGGCUUUUGUUCUGGGGACUUUGUUAAUAAAGUUAUCCAAUGAUUACAUGUCCUCUGAAUGGUAACUGGGAUAAUGCUGUUGCAUAGGGGUGUAAUUUAGCCGAGUUUGAUCGAGCUUGGGUAUGAUUAUAGUUUCGUUUAAACUCAAUUUUGAGUUUGAAAACUCAGGUCAAGCAUGAUUUCCGAGCUCAAUUGAAGCUUAAUUUUGCACUUUGCUGAGCAUAAGUCUAAUUGGUUGGCUUGAAAUCCCAAAUUGAGCUAUAAAUCAAUUCAAGCUUGAACCAUGCUCGGUUCAAUCUUGAUUUCUAGCUUGGAUCAAGUUUGAUUCAUGGAUUGGUUCGCAUCUGAUUUGGCAUUUGGUGCAUUAAGAGUUUUAGAAACAUAAUACUGAAGAUGCUAUUGAAUGUGCUAUCAUUCGUUGGAUCAUAAAAUAUUAACAAAACCAUCUCACAAAGUUAUAAUUAGGCAAGCUGUGGUUACAGUACCAUCUAUAUCAGUCACAUGAGAAAAAUCAGUAUCUUCAUUGUACAAGAAAUUUGUGAAAAAUUAUCAGCCAAAGAGGAAAAAGAAAAGGAUCGUUGGAAGGCCUCGGCUUUCCUCUCUUUUCUUUCACCUUUUCCUUGCCUUCUUUUGGUUUAUUUAGUCCAUGCUGUGAUGGGGUUAGAUUCUUAUUGCUUAAUAUAUUGCUGCAUUGGGCCUUCAGAACCGUGCUUUCCAGCGACCUGGGGUCGAGGAUCUCGGGAGGCACGUCAGGC